AAACCUAAUUUGCAAAUUGAGGAACCCUAACCCUAGCUUCCCUUUGCCUCAGCCGCACCCCACCCCUCUUUCACCCUCUUCAGUGUAACACUCUCAGCCUCACUCAAACUCACACACGGACAAGAGAGGAAGAAGGAGAAGAGGACGGCGCCGGUUGGUUGGGUGCCGCCGUCGCUGUCGUUGCCACGUUUGAGGGAGGAAGAGAUCAACAGAGAGUGCAGUUGCUGAGCCAGGAUCGCUGCUGCUGAGGGCUUUAUCGCCGCCGUCCAUGGAGCUUCGAGUAGCGCCGCUGUGCCUUCGUCGCGCCUCCAUUGCUGUUUAAGUCAGACCGUCGCGAAAGGAACCAGAGGAUGGAGACGGGCCCAAGCCAGGAGCAGGAGGAAGAAGAUGUCGCUGUGCCUCCCGUCGCCGUCGUUGUUCGUGCUCUGCCUGUCGCCGCCGUUCCGUGGAGUCCGCCCUGGUGCCGGUUGAACAGGGAUGAGGGAGAGGCGUCGAGAGGGAGAUGCAAUGGAGGUCAGAGGGAAGAGCUGCCAUCACCGCCAUCCCGUCUAUGAAGCUUGAGCUCGCGUUGCCGUCCUGAGCUUCGGCGCCGCCGUGGAGGAGAGUGGAGUAGUCACCGUCGUUGGAGAGAGGGAGAGCCAGAGGAGGACGAGACGUGUGAGAAAGGAGAUGCACAGGGGAGGAACCGUUCCUCUGCUGCCGCUAUCGCCGGAAUUCCUGGUCACCGUCGUCGUUCAUGGUAAGUCAUUUAAGCCAUAGCCAUGAGAACCACUACCUCUGAACCCCAGUUGCUCUGUAACAAUCUUGUAUUUUCCUCUGAUAUUCUCGACUCUGUUCUGCUUCUCUUUUGUUUUGUCGUUCUUACUUCGUUGGUGUCCCUGCUGUUCUAACCGAUUGGAUUGGUGCUGCUGCUGCUAAGACGUAUGCCCUGCUCUCUGGUUUCUAUUUUUCCGAGUACCAGAGCUACUGCUCCAUUCCCGUAUUUCUUUUGGUAAGAUAGGUUUUGUUCUGCAAUCAAUAUUCUGAUUACCGCUCCUUUGAUGAUCUGUUCUGUUUUACCCUUGUGUUUGCUUCAGCCUCUAUUAAAUUCCCUUCCAAAAUAUCUGUUGCUGCUACUAGAGUUGUGGGUGAUGCCGCUGCCGUUCCAAUUGUAUUGGAAUGACUACCUGCCACAAAUUGGGGAUAAAGGAAAUUGUUACGUUAAAUAAUACGAUUCCGGCUAAUUGAGGUAGGGGAUUUAUUUCAAAAUUAACAGUUUUAACUUAUGAAUGCCAAUGAGGUUUAAUGAGUAAUUGCUAAUAAUUUAUAAUUAUGAUUAAUUGAUAGAAAUAAGCUUGAUUGAUUUGAGAUUGUGAAAUUUGGAUUACGUUUGGUAUUGAGAUGAUUUUCUAGUAUUUCAACUAAUUUAUUGAUUUUAGAGUGUGGCUGUGAAUAUCAUUGGGUGUUCUUGUUGUGAGUAAUAGAUUAAUUGAUAAGAUUAAUUCUGGUUGAGGCUAUGAUUGAUAUCGGUUUUCUGAUUUUGAUGUAAUUGUUGAAAAUUCUGAUUUUAGGGGAUUAUGCUAAAUUGGUUGAGAUGUGGCUAUAUUCUAAUUAUUGAGAAUAAGUGCUUGCUGUUGAUUUUAGUUAUCUGAUAUAUAUGAAUGGCUGUGAAUUUGACUUGUGACUGGCUGAAAUUCAUUUUGGUGGUUAUUGAAGGAUUAGAACUUAAAGGAUUAAACUGUCUUGAGAACCUGAUUUUCUGAAAUAACAUAGUAAAUUUUAAGAGUAUAUAAAUAAUUUUAUAAUGGUUAGACUAAUUUUCUGUGUCAUGAUUUAUUGAUUCUGACUUGGCUGUGAUUGUGGCCGGUUUCAUGGUUGUAAGUGAUUAAUUGAUGAUAUUGAUUUUGAUUUGAGGCUGUAACUAUUUCCAAUUUUCUGAUUGUUUGGAAUUACUGAGAAUCCUGCUAUUUGAUUAUGUUGAGCUGGUUGCCAUAGGCUGGUUUGCUUGAUGGUUGCAAAUUGACUGAAAUUCUGAUCUUUGACGGAUUUAUAUUGAAUUGAAUGAUGUGCUGGUUAUUUGAUAUAUUGUAACGGUAGUGGAAUUGGUUGGUGGAAUUAAGUUUGGAAUGAGGUUGUGGGAAUAAGAUUGGUGUGGUAUUAAAACUGAUUUUGAUUUGAGGCUGUGAAUUGUGAUUUGUGAGCCAUGAUUGAAUUGUUUGAAAGUGAAUAAUAAUUCGACUUCCUGGUUAUGCUGAUUUUCUUGAUUUAGUUGUGAAAUUGAAAUGUAAUUGAUGAUGGUGGAUAUUGUUGCAAGCUUGUUUGAGAAAUUAUUGGUUACUGGAUAGGUUAAUUUGACUAGAUAAUAAUGUACUGAGUGUUGAACUGAUUCAAGCUUGUGCUCGGUUUGGAAUGGUUGUGAUAAUGGUUUAAUUGUGACUGCCUUCUGAUUAUUUCAGAGUUGUUGGAAAUUCAUAUUUUAGCUGAUUAUGUUGAGUUGGUUGUUAUGGUUAAUUUAAGGUUAACCAGAGUUGAUUUCGAGAACGGUUAAAUGAUUGAAGGUUGAUUACUAAAGUAUUUUCUUAAAGUAUGAUCUUUAGAAUAAAUUGGUAACUUUACUAAUAAUUAAAUAACUUUAAAAAUAAUUGGAAAUAUGAAAGGAUGAUGUUUGGAAUAUUAGAAGCUGGAUUGAUUUACUUUUAAAGAAUGGUCUAUGAAAACUCUGAUUUUAAUUAAUGUUAGGAUGUCGAUUGUUAAACUAUUUUAUGAUAAAAUGACUACUGGGAUUCUGUUAUGAAAACUGCUGAAAAAAGGGGCUGGAGACUUGUUGAGAAAGAGGGAACCCGUAAGGGUGGCUAAGUCCGAGUUUUAGGGGAGGUGCUGCCGAAAUUUUAUAAAAAUCUGAGGUUUCAUUUGAAAAGUUAUUUUAGAAGCUUUGAAUUUGGAAAAUUAUAUUACUUGAGUUUCAUUUAGUUAAGAAAAGAAUUAUUCUAUUUUAAAUUUGAUUUACCAAAGAAAGGUUUAUGUUUCAAAAUUAGACUAUUUAAGAAAGAAACUAUGUUUUGAGAUUGAUUCAAUAUGAAAAGAGUUAUGUUUUAGGUUUGAAAUAAAGGAUGAUCUUUUUAGAAGUUUGGUGAAAUAAUAAUAUUUGAAUUUGAAUGGUAAAGAGAGAUGGUUUUUGAGUCUUUGGGAAGUUAGUAAACUUGAAAAAGAGUUUUAUUUGGUUAAUUUUAUUAAGAGGGUGAUGUUUUGAAAAAUAUUUAGCGAAUUUAAAAUAAAUGAUUUUCUUGAGUCUUUUGAAAGAAAAUUAAAUUAGAAAAUAGUUUUAAAAUUGGUUCGAGUUAAGAGGUUGCAAAAGUAGAAGUCGUAAAGUUUGUACAUGAUUGAAUAAAGAGAGAGAGAAAUAUUGUAUAAGAAUAUGUAACUGGAGAUGAAUAACGAGAAUGAUAACUUAUGAUGAUAAUUACAAUGAUUCUUUUGAGGAAAGGUAUUCAGUUUAUGAAAUUGUUGGCAAGGACGUGGAUUUUGUCCCGCUUGCGUAUUUAUGAUUAUAAAAGAGAAUAAAAAGCAGAGGACCUGUUGAAAGGUCAUUUGUUGCUUGAGGCAACCCAAGAGAUAUGUUUAUUCAUUUGUUGCGUUAUGGCAACUCAUGAGAUAUUUAUGUGAUGAUCUGCUGCGUGAAGGCAGUCAGAUAGAUGGUGGUACGACCACUGAGAGCGCUUCCCUGGGAUACUUAGUUAUAAAGCUAUUCUGUAAGUCAGAGGACUCUUACAGAGGUAUCGAGAAAACACAACUAGCACAUACUCCUGUAAGUCAAAGGACUCUUACAGUGAGUGUGUUGGGCAGAUAAAAGCUGGCUAGCUCCGUCCUGCAAGUCAAAGGACUCUUGCAGUGGUUUGCCUCACAAGUCAAAGGACUCUUGCGAGGGGCGUUGCCAACAGGGAAGCCUUACCUGGUCAAAGGACUCCGGGUAACGUCGGGAGCGGGUAUGUAACCGACAAAUGAGCUCAUUACCUGCACUAGGGUUAGACAUGCAUCAUCCUUGUUUGUGCAUUUGCAUUUGAUUGGGUUUGCUCGUUGUACUUUCCUGUGAUUGUGCUGUCUGCCUUGCUGUGACUUGUUUGUGUGUUGAAUUGAAUCUUUGUUAGUGCUAUUAGUUGGUGAAUGUAUGAUGAUGAGUAAGAAUUGAUGUUGUGAUUGAAAAUUAAUUGUGUGGUUGAGAAAUGCUUAAUGCGACCAGUUUUAUAUUUUGGAAUUUGUUUUGAGCUUAGAGAUUUUCUUUGGAAGAGGUAAAUAAUUAGUUAAAGAAAAACCAAGAAUAGUAUUUUCAUAAGGGUUUGAUAAAAAUAUAGUUUCCUUGAGUAUGUUAAUUAUUUGCAUUUUAUUUCAUUACUUUUACGGUAUUCCCAUUCCCUACUGAGAACGUGUGGUUUGUUCUCACCCCAAAAUCUUCCACCCUUUCAGUGACACAGGUUCGAAGACUCAGUUUGAAGCUGCGGGCGAUUAUAGUAUUUAUUUACGAGAUAAGUUUUUGAGUUAGGUUAUUUUAAUAGAAUUCCCUCGCCCUUGUUACUUUAGUUUUUAUUUUAUACAGUGGGAUAGGAUUUGUAUCUAAGUUUUAUUUGAAAUAUUUUGUAUGACAGAUAUUAUUAUUAGUAAUUAUGUGAUUAUUAUUACUUGGUGA
rnacentral:lncRNA from 1 species